rnacentral:rRNA from 1 species
AUUGAACGCUGGCGGCAGGCCUAACCCAUGCAAGUCGAACGAGUGGCGGACGGGUGAGUAAUGUCUGGGAAACUGCCCGAUGGAGGGGGAUAACUACUGGAAACGGUAGCUAAUACCGCAUACCAUCGGAUGUGCCCAGAUGGGAUUAGCUAGUAGGUGGGGUAACGGCUCACCUAGGCGAAGAUCCCUAGCUGGUCUGAGAGGAUGACCAUCCACAGUGGAACUGAGACACGGUCCAGACUCCUACGGGAGGCAGCAGUGGGGAAUAUUGCACAAUGGGCGCAAGCCUGAUGCAGCCAUGCCGCGUGUAUGAAGAAGGCCUUCGGGUUGUAAAGUACUUUCAGCGAGGAGGCGUUACUCUCAGAAGAAGCACCGGCUAACUCCGUGCCAGCAGCCGCGGUAAUUC